CAAGGAAGGCAGCAGGCGCGCAAAUUACCCACUCCCGGCACGGGGAGGUAGUGACGAAAAAUAACGAUACGGGACUCAUCCGAGGCCCCGUAAUCGGAAUGAGUACACUUUAAAUCCUUUAACGAGGAUCAAUUGGAGGGCAAGUCUGGUGCCAGCAGCCGCGGUAAUUCCAGCUCCAAUAGCGUAUAUUAAAGUUGUUGCGGUUAAAAAGCUCGUAGUCGAAUCUGUGUCGUGCGCCGCCGGUUCAUCGCUCGCGGUGUCAACUGGCGUGUCGCAGGACGUCCUGCCGGUGGACCCAGUCGUCCGGUCGCGUUCUCCUCCUCGCGGGGAGUAUCACGGCCGCGGCGGCGGUCCAACUUUAAAAAUCCCACCGCGGUGCUCUUCGCUGAGUGUCGAGGUGGGCCGGCACGUUUACUUUGAACAAAUUAGAGUGCUUAAAGCAGGCUGAAAAUUUUGCCUGAAUAUUGUGUGCAUGGAAUAAUGGAAUAGGACCUCGGUUCUAUUUUGUUAGUUUUCGGAACCCCGAGGUAAUGAUUAAUAGGAACGGAUGGGGGCAUUCGUAUUGCGACGUUAGAGGUGAAAUUCUUGGAUCGUCGCAAGACGGACUUAAGCGAAAGCAUUUGCCAAAAACGCUUUCAUUGAUCAAGAACGAAAGUUAGAGGUUCGAAGGCGAUCAGAUACCGCCCUAGUUCUAACCAUAAACGAUGCCAGCUAGCGAUCCGCCGACGUUCCUCCGAUGACUCGACGGGCAGCUUCCGGGAAACCAAAGCUUUUGGGUUCCGGGGGAAGU
rnacentral:rRNA from 1 species